GUCCACGGUAGCUUAGUGGACAUGGCAUCUGCCCGGUAAGCUGAACACUGUGGGUUCGAUUCCAAUUCUUGGACA
rnacentral:tRNA from 1 species